rnacentral:rRNA from 1 species
GACGAACGCUGGCGGCGUGCUUAACACAUGCAAGUCGAACGGUAAGGCCCUUUCGGGGGUACACGAGUGGCGAACGGGUGAGUAACACGUGGGUAAUCUGCCCUGCACUCUGGGAUAAGCCUGGGAAACUGGGUCUAAUACCGGAUAUGAGCCUUCAUCGCAUGGUGGGGGUUGGAAAGUUUUUUCGGUGCAGGAUGUGCCCGCGGCCUAUCAGCUUGUUGGUGGGGUAAUAGCCUACCAAGGCGACGACGGGUAGCCGGCCUGAGAGGGUGAUCGGCCACACUGGGACUGAGACACGGCCCAGACUCCUACGGGAGGCAGCAGUGGGGAAUAUUGCACAAUGGGCGGAAGCCUGAUGCAGCGACGCCGCGUGGGGGAUGACGGUCUUCGGAUUGUAAACCCCUUUCAGUAGGGACGAAGCGCAAGUGACGGUACCUGCAGAAGAAGCACCGGCCAACUACGUG